GAGCGGUAGAGAGAAGCUUGCUUCUCUUGAGAGCGGCGGACGGGUGAGUAAUGCCUAGGAAUCUGCCUGGUAGUGGGGGAUAACGUUCGGAAACGGACGCUAAUACCGCAUACGUCCUACGGGAGAAAGCAGGGGACCUUCGGGCCUUGCGCUAUCAGAUGAGCCUAGGUCGGAUUAGCUAGUUGGUGAGGUAAUGGCUCACCAAGGCGACGAUCCGUAACUGGUCUGAGAGGAUGAUCAGUCACACUGGAACUGAGACACGGUCCAGACUCCUACGGGAGGCAGCAGUGGGGAAUAUUGGACAAUGGGCGAAAGCCUGAUCCAGCCAUGCCGCGUGUGUGAAGAAGGUCUUCGGAUUGUAAAGCACUUUAAGUUGGGAGGAAGGGUUGUAGAUUAAUACUCUGCAAUUUUGACGUUACCGACAGAAUAAGCACCGGCUAACUCUGUGCCAGCAGCCGCGGUAAUACAGAGGGUGCAAGCGUUAAUCGGAAUUACUGGGCGUAAAGCGCGCGUAGGUGGUUCGUUAAGUUGGAUGUGAAAGCCCCGGGCUCAACCUGGGAACUGCAUUCAAAACUGACGAGCUAGAGUAUGGUAGAGGGUGGUGGAAUUUCCUGUGUAGCGGUGAAAUGCGUAGAUAUAGGAAGGAACACCAGUGGCGAAGGCGACCACCUGGACUGAUACUGACACUGAGGUGCGAAAGCGUGGGGAGCAAACAGGAUUAGAUACCCUGGUAGUCCACGCCGUAAACGAUGUCAACUAGCCGUUGGAAUCCUUGAGAUUUUAGUGGCGCAGCUAACGCAUUAAGUUGACCGCCUGGGGAGUACGGCCGCAAGGUUAAAACUCAAAUGAAUUGACGGGGGCCCGCACAAGCGGUGGAGCAUGUGGUUUAAUUCGAAGCAACGCGAAGAACCUUACCAGGCCUUGACAUCCAAUGAACUUUCCAGAGAUGGACUGGUGCCUUCGGGAACAUUGAGACAGGUGCUGCAUGGCUGUCGUCAGCUCGUGUCGUGAGAKGUU
rnacentral:rRNA from 1 species